UGGCUCAGUUGGUAGAGCAUGGUGUUUGCAACGCCAGGGUUGUGGGUUCUAUUCCCAU
rfam:Salmo salar isolate Sally breed double haploid chromosome ssa10, whole genome shotgun sequence.